rnacentral:rRNA from 1 species
CAAUAGCGUAUAUUGAAGUUGUUGCGGUUAAAAAGCUCGUAGUUGGAUUUCUGCUGAGAACGACCGGUCCGCCCUUUGGGUGUGUAUCUGGCUCUUUCUUGGCAUCUUCUUGGUGAACGUUGCUGCACUUGACUGUGUGGAGCGCUACCCAGGACUUUUACUUUGAGGAAAUUAGAGUGUUUCAAGCAGGCAUACGCCUUGAAUACAUUAGCAUGGAAUAAUAAGAUAGGACCUCGGUUCUAUUUUGUUGGUUUCUAGAGCUGAGGUAAUGAUUAAUAGGGAUAGUUGGGGGCAUUCGUAUUUAACUGUCAGAGGUGAAAUUCUUGGAUUUGUUAAAGACGGACUACUGCGAAANCANNNGCCAAGGAUGUUUUCAUNGA